UUAAGUUGUGUAGGGCGUACAGUGGAUGCCUUGGCAUAUGAAGUCGAUGAAGGACGUGGUAAGCUGCGAUAAGCUUCGGGGAGGUGCAAACAACCGUUCACCCGGAGAUUUCCGAAUGGGACAACCCAAUCCAAGUAAUGUUGGAUUACUGCUACCUGAAUAUAUAGGGUAGUAAGAGAUAACGCAGGGAAGUGAAACAUCUCAGUACCUGCAGGAAUAGAAAACAAUAGUGAUUCCCAGAGUAGCGGCGAGCGAAAAGGGAAGAGCCUAAACCGAUGUAAUGUCAUGUCUGCAACUUAGUUGCAUCGGGGUUGCGGGAAUUAGUUGGAGGAUUUAGCAGGAUCCUCGGCGAGUCAAAAAAUAAUUUGUUAGGAAAAUGGAUCAGGAAAGUUCCAGCCAUAGAGGGUGAUAGCCCCGUAUCUGAAAACAUUUUAUCUCGUUGAAUUAAUCUCCCAAGUAGGGCGGGACACGUGGAAUCCCGUUUGAAUCUGCCGGGACCAUCCGGUAAGGCUAAAUACUCUCAUAUGACCGAUAGUGAAACAGUACCGUGAGGGAAAGGUGAAAAGUACCCCUGGAGGGGAGUGAAAUAGAACCUGAAACUGUAUGUCUACAAGCUGUCGAAGUCCGCAAGGACGACGGCGUGCCUUUUGCAUAAUGAGCCAGCAAGUUACUCGUAUCUAGCGAGGUUAAGUGAAUAACACGGAGCCGUAGGGAAACCAAGUCUGAAUAGGGCGUUUAGUUAGGUGCGGUAGACGCGAAACCGAGUGAUCUUACCAUGGUCAGGUUGAAGCUCUAGUAAAAUAGAGUGGAGGACCGAACCGACUUGGGUUGAAAACCGAGCGGAUGAACUGUGGUAAGGGGUGAAAGGCCAAUCAAACUCGGUGAUAUCUCGUUCUCUUCGAAAUGCAUCUAGGUGCAGCGUUACGUAAGAGUAUCAUGGAGGUAGAGCACUGACUGGGCUAGGGUUCCUACAGGAAUACCAAACCCAUUCAAACUCCGAAUGCCAUUGAUAUGUUUCGUAGCAGUGAGGCAGUGGGUGAUAAGAUUCAUUGCCGAGAGGGAAACAACCCAGACCUACAGCUAAGGCCCCUAAAUUUAUACUAAGUGAUAAAGGAUGUGAAUUAGCACUGACAGCUAGGAGGUUGGCUUAGAAGCAGCCAUUCCUUUAAAGAAAGCGUAAUAGCUCACUAGUCAAGGUAAUUUGCGCCGAUAAUCUCCGGGACUCAAGUAUAAUGCCGAAGCUUAGGAUUUCCAAUUUAUUGGAAGUGGUAGAAGAGCGUUCCAUCAACUGUCGAAGGUUGACCCGUGAGGGCAGCUGGAGGAAAUGGAAAUGAGGAUGCUGGCAUGAGUACACGAUAAAAUACGUGAAAUUCGUAUUCACCAUAAGCCCAAGGUUUCCUGAUCAAUGUAAAUCAGAUCAGGGUUAGCCGGCCCCUAAGGCAAGGCCGAAAGGCGUAGUCGAUGGGAAUCAGGUAAUUUGAACAUUCCUGAGCCUCCGAACCUUAAUCCAAGAAAUCCAUCUCCCAGACCUAAUAUGCUUAUUGAUUUGUAUAUUAGGAGUAAGAGGUGGCAAGAAAAAGCUUGGGGUAUGCUAAGGAGACCGUACCGUAAACCGACACAGGUAGGCGAGGAGAGUAUCCUAAGGUGCUUGAGAGAAUUCUGGUCAAGGAACUCGGCAAAAUAGCCCCGUAACUUCGGGAGAAGGGGUGCCCACCCUCGGGUGGGCCGCAGUGAAAUGAGGGUAGCGACUGUUUACUAAAAACAUAGGUCUAUGCUAACACGUAAGUGGAAAUAUAUGGACUGACACCUGCCCGGUGCUGGAAGGUUAAGUGGAUCUGUUAUCUCCUUCGGGAGAGAAGCUCAGAAAUGAAGCCCCAGUAAACGGCGGCCGUAACUAUAACGGUCCUAAGGUAGCGAAAUUCCUUGUCGGGUAAGUUCCGACCUGCACGAAUGG
rnacentral:rRNA from 1 species